CAUUGCACCGGAGAAGUAGUUGAAUUAAGAGGGUUUGCACGGGCUGUAUGGGUGUUUCCGCCGUUUCACUCAUGCGUAACUUGCAUAGGAGUCAAUUACUCUUAGAAAGACCUCACCCCUCUUAGGCAGGUAGCUCGCUUAUGUUUUGCUAUUGCAAGAACAGAUCCUGUAAUACCUUGGGAAGCUUUACUAACUCACACGCCUAUUUUGGGUUUAACAGAGGUUAACUUCUGCAUGCUUCUUUCACAAAGAUGGGAUAUGAAAAGUGAUGCAAUUUUAUCUGCUGAAGAAGCAAAAUACGUUGAAGAAUUAAGAUCUACAUACAAGCAAAUUUGAAGUCAAAUGCAUGAAAACAUUCUCAUCUAUUAAUUUACUUAUGUAUAUGCACACAACAGUUUUGAUAAAUCAAAGAAUAAAUGAAAGUAUCAUCAAUAAUAAAGAAAUUAUGAAAUGAUUUACUUGAAAACUAGUGUAAUAUAUACUCUAGAUAAAUAAAAGUUCAUAAAAAAUUA